AAAUAAGCAAGUUUCAUUGCAUUAAAUUAAUAGUAUAACAUUUCAAGUCUACAAAAUGUCACAGAUUCAAACCAACUUAACCAGAUCAUUUUAAACCUACUAGCGGUUGAAGAUUGUCCCAAAGCGCUUUCCGUACUUGCAAUUUCGCACAUGCAUGGGACGACGCAUCCAUUUUCCACCUGCCCUUGGCAAACUUUUGUAAAUCCGUUAUCAUCCAUAAAUUAUUUGGCUCUGAAUGUGGAGGUGCAAACAGUGUCCUGUAAGUGAAUCUACAAGGUACCAAUUACUAAAACACUAUAAAUUAAUCCAUGGCCAUUAUGGUCAGGGACACUCCAGAUAUCCAUGCACAUACUAUGAAUGCCCAUGCUCAUUCAGAACAUGGAAUGCACUUAAAACUCAUUUGAGUCGAUGUCAUGUUGAUGUUUUACAUUUAAGGACUACAGAACAAGUAAUAUUGACAUGCCCUUUGUGUCCAGGAAGUGAAAUAGCAUCUAGUACAGAUUACUUUUCUCAUGUAAACAACCAUCUGAGAAGUUAUGAAACAGUAACUUGUAUGUUUGAAAAUUGUUGUUUUCAAACUAAUAUAUAUGCUACUUUCAAAUCCCAUAAGAAUAGGAAGCAUGCACAUUGCACUAUAAAAGACUUUAAAGUUGGACUAUUGAAAGGAUGUGAUACAAAUGCUGAGCAUCAACUAUCUAAAAAGCAUUCAACUGCUGAAAUUGCUUCCGAUUUAGAUUGCGACAAUUUUAUUGAACCUGAGGCAGAAAAUGAGAACUUGCAAGACACAAUAAUUAAAAAAUUGGCAUCAGUCCUUCUGAAAUUGGAGACUUUUUCACAUGUACCAAGCUCUACAAUUGAUGAGUUACUGGAAGAGUUGCAUUUCAUUUUUACCUCUGCUGCAGUGCCUGUAUCACACAGUACAGCUUUUGAAAUUUUCAAUAAGCAUAACCUUCAGGUUAAUCAGUUAAUAAUUAAUGAACUCAUCUUAGCCAUUUCUACCAAUAAUCCUUUGGUAAUAGCUAUAGCUAAAGGUGGUCCAUUAGCCUCAGCCUUCAAACGUAAACAGUACUAUAAAGAAAACUUUAAGGUUGUGGAACCUGUUGAGUAUGUACUAGAGGCAAGGUCCAAUAAAACCUUUCAGUACAUUCCCUUACUGAAUUCUCUACAGCAGCUACUUGGACGUAAAGAUAUAGUUGAUAAGCUUCUUGAUAAUCAUGCAGUUUCUUCUGCAAAUGUAGACCACUAUGCGUCUUUUCAGAACGGUGAGUACCACAAAAGAAACCCUUUCUUUUCAGGUGAGGAUUUAAGGAUUAGUUUAUGUUUGUACAUCGACGACUUUGAGGUUUGCAAUCCGUUGGGAACUUCACGCAAAAAACACAAACUGUGUGCAGUCUACUGGAUUUUAGGUAACUUGCCUCCUGGUAGCAGCUCAGUCCUGUCCUCAAUCUACCUAGCAUUGUUGUGCAAAAGUGAUCAUGUUAAAGCUUAUGGCUACAAAAAAAUAUUUGAGCCUUUAUUGCAUGAUAUAGUGACUUUGGAGCAGCAAGGACUGUUUAUUCCACAACUUGGGUCAUUUAUCAAGGGCACAGUACAAUGUGUUGUUGCGGAUAAUCUGGGGGCUCAUGGGCUAGCUGGAUUUGUCGAGAGUUUUUCGGGAAAAUAUUUCUGUCGGUUUUGUACAGCUCAGAAUUGUGACAUUCAGGGGAACGAAGUGAAAUCCGGGGUAUUUGAGCGUAGAACCAACGAAGUUCAUCAGCUUCACGUAAAGACGGCUCAAGAAAAAGGGGAAAGCUGCUUUGGUGUAAAAACGUCUUGUGUUUUAACUGACAGUCUGUCUCACUUUAAUGUGACAAGUGGUUACCCCCCAGAUAUUGUCCACGAUGUGUUUGAGGGCAUAGUUCCUGUAGAACUAGCACUGUGCAUUAAUGUGCUUUUAUCGAAGAAGUUCUUCACUCUUGAACACCUUAAUAAUCUUAUCCAUUCUUUUCCAUAUAAAGAGGGGGAUAAAACAAACCGCCCUCAUUUGCUACCUAAAACUUUUCAAAAGAAACGCACAGUGGGUGGCAAUGCCCAUGAAAACUGGUGUCUUCUUCGAUUACUUCCUUUUAUCAUUGGUAAACUUGUUCCAACUGAUGAACCUGCUUGGCAGGUGAUUUUGGAUUUAAAGGAUAUUGCUGAAUUGGUAGUUGCCCCUGUUCAUUGUCUAGAAUCGAUUGCAUAUUUGGAGUGCAAAAUCUCAGAGCAUCGAGAACGUUAUCAGGAACUCUUUCCUGAACAGAAGUUGUUGCCUAAACAUCAUUUUCUGGAACACUAUCCAGAAAUGAUUAAAUGUUUUGGUCCCCUCGUGUCAUUAUGGACUAUGCGGUUUGAGGCCAAACACAGCUUUUUUAAGCAAGUUGUUAGGCAUUUAAAUAACUUCAGGAACAUAACUCUGUCAUUAGCUACAAAGCAUCAGUUAAUGGUUUCCUAUAAUAUGCUUUGUCCUGACAAUGAAAAGCCCUCCUUGGAUGUUGCGAAAGUUUCAAAAGUCCCCAUUGAUGUCCUUAAUGAGGAUGUAUUGAACACAAUAACCCAGACAUACCCUGACAUCACUGAUGUAAACCUUGCCCAAAGUGUCACUGUUAAUGGCAUAAACUACAAAAAAGGUAUGAUAGUUGUGCAUGGAUCAUGUGGCGGUCUUCCAGAAUUUUCCGAAAUAAUUCAGCUGUGCAUUAUAAAAGAUGAUUUGAUUUUCAUUGUUAAAAAACUUAACUCAUGGUACAGAGAGCACUAUCGAGCUUAUGAGUUACAUCCAACAAGAGAGCUUGCAGCUGUUGGUUUGAAGGAGCUUGCUGACCAGUGUCCUUUGGCUGACUACAAAGUUGGAUCCCUACGAAUGGUGACUUUAAAAAGAUUUGUACAUGUGACAGAAUGAAUUCAAGAUGUCUGCAACUCUGAGAGUCAUAUUUGGAGUAGACGACGCAUCAAAAUUAAUUCUGCCCAAUGGAAUACCCAAUUCCAUAGAGGACCUUAAAGGAGAGAUUGUAAGACACUUCGGCCUGUCUGGAAAUUUCAGGCUGCAGUAUAGAGACAUUGAUUUUGACAAUGAGUUUGUGAACUUAACAGAUACUUCAGAAAUCAAAGACAAAAGCACAGUUAAAGUUAUUAACUUGCCGGAUGAGACAAUCACACUCACACUCACUAAUGUUACGCAAGAGGAAGAUGAUUUUUUGCUGUCCUCAGCAUCAGACACAGACAUACUUUCCUCCGCUGAAUCUACAUCUUCAGGUACCUCCCUUAGAUCACAGCCAUGGCCCACAAACUUUGAAAUACCUCCGUUCAGUUAUGAGGUACAGAUUCAGUUAGAAAAGGCAAAACAAGCCUUCUGCAGCAGUGGAACUCUUCUUACAACAAGUAACAAACUGAGGUCCGAUAUACUAGACGGUCUGGCAGCAGAAAUCAUCAAAUACAAAGUUUAUCCUUCUAGUACAGAGCUUGAUAAUGUGGCUCAGGCUCUGAUAACAAAGUAUCCCUUUUUAAAGGAGAAAGGAUCUGUCACUGGCUUUUAUGGCUGGAAAAUUAGUUUAAAGUACAAAAUGGCAAACUACCGCACCAGACUAAGGAGCAUUGGCUGCCCCGAGUUGAGCAUCAACGCUGUAAAAGAAAAGCAAGGUGCCACGAGUCAUGGACCUAACCAGGUUAAGAAGCCACGUAAAGCAGAAGUCAACUAUUGUCCUGAUUACCCUGCAGGCGAAACUAAAGAGAGCCUCGAGGAAGAAAGGAAAGCACUUAUAUUGGAGGUGAAAAAGAAGAACAACCAACAGCUAAUCAAAAGUAAAAUGGAAAGAACCUUUGCCUAUAGAAGACAGGAAGUCGUUAAAGAUAUGCCCUUCAUAGCAGAGUUCAAAAACAGAUGGCCAGCCCUGUUUUCUGAGAGCCAGGUAAAUGCAGAAUUCACCCUCAUCACCACAGUCCCCCUGUUCUCAACCUUUAUGUCCCGACUGGAUCAUUACUCUAGCCAGCUAUUGAGGGUAUUCAAAAAGAAGGGGGGAACAGCAAGACGUGAUAUCGACGUAAUCAUUGCAGAAAUGGACAAGAAUCCCAGUGUUGAAGUACGACGGACAUGCAUCCUAAAGGCAUUGUGCGUCUACUUAAAUGAAAAGCCUGACAGCCUUAUUAAGGAGUACUGGGCUACUGAGGAUAUUGGUAUUGAUGCAAUGACGGAAAUGGAGAGACUGGCUUUGGGUGUCUACAUUGUUCGACAUGAUGGAGCGGAUGCUUCAGAUCCACCUGAGGAUGUUGGCGUCGUCAUUGAAGGCUGCACAGUGCUGCGAGAUCUGAGAGAGGUUGCAAAUGGAUGUGCAGUCCUGUUUGGCUUGAUCUACUGUUUAAACUUGAGCUAUCCCAAGGAACUGCGAUACACUUUCGAAUUUCUUCAGAAAGUGUUUAUGGAAUUGGAUGGGAACAAGCUCUCCACUAAAGUGCAGGUCCUCAAAAACAAACUGCAUGAGUAGAAUCACCUGCACCUGGCUUUAGACACUUUAGUUGUGUUGACUGUUACUUUGUUUUUGGACUGCUGCUAGACAAAAUAAAGCUGAGAUCAAUGAUGGUUUGUAAUAAGCAGACAGGACUGCAGUUGGUCAUUGACUUGCUUGGGGAGGCUCAGUUCUUUGGAUUUUGGACUGCUGCUAGACAAAACAUCUAGCAAUCUAAAGACAAUGUUGGUUGUGGUAAUUGGCAUUUAAACUUCUCUUGUUUUCUGAUUUCUUAAGAAUCAAAAGAUGUGAAAUACAACAAACACUGGUUUGUUAUAAUGAAACCAUUUCAAACAAUUUAAGGUGAAGAUUGUUUUUUGUUACGUAAACAUUGCUAAAUUUUCUAUUUCUCCUGUUGAAGCAAACUAUAAAACUUGUACUUUUCAUAAUGUUCUUGAUAAGUCAGCAGGUAUGUAAAGUCUGAACAUAGGAUGUUCUAACGGUGAAGUGAGAAUUUUCUGCAGCAUAAAUCCUCUUGAUUGUAAACUUCAGUUAAUUUAACCUCCCUCCAUAUAGAAAACAAGGAUUUGCCUCUUUAGUUUUUAUUUCAGUAGGCAACACCUGUUAGACAUUGUUGACGUCAUAGUUCAGAUUUACUAGAAAGCUAUAAUGGGAUUGAACAUUAUCGGAUGGUGGAAGAUUCACGAACAAGUUUUAUAUUUUAGAAUUUUUUUAAUAUAUAUUGGUCUAUUCUUUGCACAUCUUUUUUUUUUUUUUUUUUUGAAUUCAUCUUUUUGAUGGGAAUUGAAACGUGAAGUGCUAAAGUCUACUGAGGCCUCAAGGUAAAAAAAAAGUUAUUUGUUUAAAAAUAUAUUUUGUUCUUGGCAGGAGUUUGGUUUUCAAAAUUUAAACUAAAAUGGAAUGGUUAAAUAUAUUAGGCUACUGCAUAUACAUGAUUAUUUAGGCUCAUUGUUUCUGACCGUUUAAAAAAAAAAAGUCUCAUUGUCCCAAUGCCAAUGAUGUAUUUUGUGAUCAAAUUUGAUGAGACACAUCAAACGAAAUCUGGCACAUAGUGGACAUGCAGUGCAAAUCAUCAUUUUUCCAUUUAUUUGAAAGUCAUGUUAGUCCGAGUUGUCAAAUUGUUUUUUUUUUCCUUGAGAAAAGUUUAUAGUUAAAUGAGUUUAUUAAGCUAAAAAACUAAGGAUUUGCCUCUAUUUUUUUAUUGCAGCAGGCAAUACAUGUUAAACAUUCUUGAUGUUGUCAAAGUUCAGAUUCACUUUUGGGACUAUAAAGCUAUAAUGGGAUUUAACAUUAUCAGAUAGUGAAAGAGAUUCACAAACAAGUUUUAUAUUUUUGAUUUAUUUAUUUUGGUCUAUUUGCGUUUUAUACGUGGAUUUAUGUUGGUGUCUUCAAUUGUAUUAGUACAAUUUGUAUUCGUAUAUAAGUUUUGCUUAUAUAUUUGUAAUAAUUGUAUCAGUCAUGAUAAUCCCAGAUAUAGUAAUGUACCUUACUUUUUGACUUCUACUUCAAAACCCAAAGUGAAUAAAGUUAAUUA